CCCUGCCCUAUGAAUAUUAAAUGGCUGCAGUAUCCUGACUGUGCAAAGGUAGCAUAGUAAUUAGUCUUUUAAUUGGAGUCUUGUAUGAAUGGGUUAAUGAGAUAUUAAUUUUAUUGUUUUUAUAAUUAUAAUUUAAUUUAUAAGUAAAAAAGCUUAUUUUAUUUUUUGGGACGAUAAGACCCUAUAGAACUUUAUUAUUAACUUAAUCUAAGUUAUAUUAGUUUUGAAUUAAUUUAAUUAAUUUAAUUGUUUAAUUGGGGUGAUUAAUAAAUUGAACUUUAUUUUUAUAUGUCAUUAAUUUAUGUUUUUUUGAUCCAAUGAUUUGAUUUAAAGAUUAAGUUACCUUAGGGAUAACAGCGUUAUUUUAAUGAGGAGUUCAUAUCUAUAUUAAGUUUUGCGACCUCGAUGUUGAAUUAAGAUAAGAUUGGGGGGUAG
rnacentral:rRNA from 1 species